rnacentral:rRNA from 1 species
GAUGAACGCUGGCGGCGUGCCUAAUACAUGCAAGUCGAGCGAACAGACGAGGAGCUUGCUCCUCUGACGUUAGCGGCGGACGGGUGAGUAACACGUGGAUAACCUACCUAUAAGACUGGGAUAACUUCGGGAAACCGGAGCUAAUACCGGAUAAUAUAUUGAACCGCAUGGUUCAAUAGUGAAAGACGGUUUUGCUGUCACUUAUAGAUGGAUCCGCGCCGCAUUAGCUAGUUGGUAAGGUAACGGCUUACCAAGGCGACGAUGCGUAGCCGACCUGAGAGGGUGAUCGGCCACACUGGAACUGAGACACGGUCCAGACUCCUACGGGAGGCAGCAGUAGGGAAUCUUCCGCAAUGGGCGAAAGCCUGACGGAGCAACGCCGCGUGAGUGAUGAAGGUCUGCGGAUCGUAAAACGCUGUUAUUAGGGAAGAACAAAUGUGUAAGUAACUAUGCACGUCUGGACGGUACCUAAUCAGAAAGCCACGGCUAACUACGU